UUGAACCCAGGAGGCGGAGGUUGCAGUGAGCCGAGAUCGCACCACUGCACUCCAGCCUGGGCAACAAGAGUGAGACUCUGUCUCAGAAAAAACAAAAAACACCCAUUCAUUUACUCAUGCAACAAAUUCUCCUGCAAGCUUUUAUGGGCACUCAGUAACUACUCAGGAUUGGAUUUAUCAGCCUUGCCCCUGAGCAGCUCGUGGUCCUAUGGAACCUGAGCCAGGCCUCGGUCUCUCCAUGAUUGGCUCAGCUAACUCUCAGUUCAGAGCAGAGAGUAUCAAUCUUGUGUUUUUGCCUUUAGGCAGCACUACAUGAAACAUGGGGCCUGUGGUCCUUCCUUCUGGCGUCCCCCGUGUUAAAAGAUAAAAAAACACCCCAAGAGCCAUCUGUGCUCUCUGCCCCUCCUGUGGGGACCAUGUGGGGUUAGGAAUGGCUCAGUGGGGAAGGAGAGCGCUCUUGUCCCCAGUCCCAUGUCACCCUGUCCCUUAGAUAGGGAGUUGGGCUGCAGAGAUUGGUGCGAGGAGAGGAUGGGUUUGGGAAUUGGAGUUCCUCCAAGGAGCUCCUCCUAAGAUUGAGAGCUGCAGCUGUAGUGGCUGCUGGUUGGGAGGUAAGUGCCAUCACUAAUUUAAAAGUCCUUGCCAUCUGGAAGCAGGCUUUGUCAACAGCAGCUGAGAAAAGCGGACUGUGCCUCUGCUGGCCAGGCCUAGGCGCUCGUCAGAGCAUGCCUCUGCCCAAGGCAUUUGGGCCUGGGUGAUUGUUGCACCUCUGGCCUUGGCGUUUCCUCUUUGCAGCACGUGCCUACCUCCCCCAAGCCCUGAGCCACUGCCUGCUGGGGCUCCUACUGAAGUUCUGGCAACACCUCUGCACCUGCCACCCCUGGGAGGAAAGAGGGCCACACGGGAAGUGUCUGCAGGGAGAGGUGACACUCGGCAGCCUGAGUUCAGGAGAGGUGCUCAGAGCUUCAGGCAGAGAGGCCUUCAGAGGAGGGAAAUGGAGCAAUGUGUCACAGGCAGACAGGGUCAGGACUGCCACCCCAGGCCCCGUGGGAGGCCAGCUGAGGGCACAGAGCUGCUCGGUGCAGGCUUCAUGCUUUGAUCUGGAAAGAGCAGCUGUCCGUAGGCCUCUGUCUCCAAGAGGCCCGUCACACAGGAGGACCGCUGGAAACAUAUCGACACGUGCAGUCUCCCCUCCAAGCUAUUCACACUGAUUGUGGAAUCUCUUUCAAACACAAGUGUCAGGUGUGUGUCAUCCCAGCGGGCCCUGUGCUGUGAAUAGAGCCAUGUGCAGCACAAAGGGAAUGUGGCAUGUGGCCCCGGAAGAGUUCACCCGGCCAGGGGCCAGUUGUUCAGUUGCCUGGGGCUGACACUGACCACUGGCCUCUGGGGUGUCCUACAGCCCAGAUGCCCACCUUGCCCUCCUCACAUCUCAGUCAGGGGAGGCCAUGCCCAGGCCAAUGUGCUGUCGGAGCCUGCAGUGGGGGCAGCACUUCCUCGGAGGGCCUGGGAGGUGCCAGGGAUGCCCCAGUGCUUCUCCUCCUGCCUGGCCCUGGCAUGGCCCAGUGCCUCUAGGAUCAACUUACGAUCCAUGGAGCAGCCCCGGGAAACCCAAACCUGGCUCAGGACAGCGUAGGGGCAGGAGGGCUGUAAAUCACCCCAGGCUAAGCCUCCAUGGGUGCUGGGUCCUGCGCAGCCCGGCUAUGGGCUCAGUUAGAACCACUUAGAAAGUCAUCAGCGACACCCCACAGAAGGCCACUGCAGCUAAGUAAACACCUGAGAAGGAAACUGUUCCAGAAGUGAUGACGUGGGCUUCCAGGAGCACGGAGGAGGUGGCACUUGAACUUUGAGGAAACUCCUUGGAUGAGAUAAAGUGGGGGUUGGAGGUGGCGGGAAGAGGGUAACCCUGGGAAAGUCAGCGUCGGAACGCAUGGCAGAAGACUGUGGAAGAGGCAGGGGAGGGGCUUUGGGGACCACUGUGGGCGGAGCUCUGAAAGCACCCUGGCCAAAGCCUCUCCUGAGGUGACAGAGCGUGGGAGGAGGCUGCGGGGGCACUGGGCCUGCGUGCCAUCCUCACCCUGUUCCCCGCUGGUGCCAGGCCCUGCCUUCUUGGUACAUGUGCCAACAGGAGAGCCCUCACCAGCUGACCCUGUCGCUCUCCGUGGUGACUGUGCCUGGGCCAGCGGCGGCCCCGCCAGCUGACCCUGUCGCUCUCCGUGGUGACUGUGCCUGGGCCAGCGGCGGCCCCGCCAGCUGACCCUGUCGCUCUCCGUGGUGACUGUGCCUGGGCCAGCGGCGGCCCCGCCAGCUGAUCCUGUCGCUCUCCGUGGUGACUGUGCCUGGGCCAGCGGCGGCCCCGCCAGCUGAUCCUGUCGCUCUCCGUGGUGACUGUGCCUGGGCCAGCGGCGGCCCCGCCAGCUGAUCCUGUCGCUCUCCGUGGUGACUGUGCCUGGGCCAGCGGCGGCCCCGCCAGCUGACCCUGUCGCUCUCCGUGGUGACUGUGCCUGGGCCAGCGGCGGCCCCGCCAGCUGACCCUGUCGCUCUCCGUGGUGACUGUGCCUGGGCCAGCGGCGGCCCCGCCAGCUGAUCCUGUCGCUCUCCGUGGUGACUGUGCCUGGGCCAGCGGCGGCCCCGCCAGCUGACCCUGUCGCUCUCCGUGGUGACUGUGCCUGGGCCAGCGGCGGCCCCGCCAGCUGACCCUGUCGCUCUCCGUGGUGACUGUGCCUGGGCCAGCGGCGGCCCCGCCAGCUGACCCUGUCGCUCUCCGUGGUGACUGUGCCUGGGCCAGCGGCGGCCCCGCCAGCUGACCCUGUCGCUCUCCGUGGUGACUGUGCCUGGGCCAGCGGCGGCCCCGCCAGCUGACCAUGUCGCUCUCCGUGGUGACUGUGCCUGGGCCAGCGGCGGCCCCGCCAGCUGACCCUGUCGCUCUCCGUGGUGACUGUGCCUGGGCCAGCGGCGGCCCCGCCAGCUGACCCUGUCGCUCUCCGUGGUGACUGUGCCUGGGCCAGCGGCGGCCCCGCCAGCUGAUCCUGUCGCUCUCCGUGGUGACUGUGCCUGGGCCAGCGGCGGCCCCGCCAGCUGAUCCUGUCGCUCUCCGU